rnacentral:rRNA from 1 species
CCUACGGGGGGCAGCAGUGAGGAAUAUUGGUCAAUGGCCGAGAGGCUGAACCAGCCAAGUCGCGUGAGGGAAGACGGCCCUACGGGUUGUAAACCUCUUUUGUCGGGGAGCAAAGCGAGUCACGUGUGACUCAUUGCGAGUACCCGAAGAAAAAGCAUCGGCUAACUCCGUGCCAGCAGCCGCGGUAAUACGGAGGAUGCGAGCGUUAUCCGGAUUUAUUGGGUUUAAAGGGAGCGUAGAUGGGUUUUUAAGUCAGUUGUGAAAGUUUGCGGCUCAACCGUAAAAUUGCAAUGGAUACUGGCAGCCUUGAGUACAGUUGAGGUAGGCGGAAUUCGUGGUGUAGCGGUGAAAUGCUUAGAUAUCACGAAGAACUCCGAUUGCGAAGGCAGCUUACUAAACUGCCACUGACAUUGAGGCUCGAAAGUGUGGGUAUCAAACAGGAUUAGAUACCCGAGUAGUC